UAGAUUAAAGCCAGUUGAUUAGGGCAUUUAGCUGUUAACUAAAUUUUUGUGGGUUUAAGUCCCAUUAAUCUAG
rnacentral:tRNA from 3 species